CGACAGUAUUGCCGAACUAAUUAUAAAGAGCCGUAAGCAUACGAGGGGGGUGGGGACAGCUGCUCUACUCCCUAUGGUAAAAAUGAAGUUGGGGAAAUUAUAAACGUAAGUUGGGCAAAAAGAUGGGGGAAAUAAAUUUAAAAACAAGAAAUAUGUAAGAUAAUAGUCGAAAAUGUAAGAAAAAUUGAAGUGGUCGAAAAUGGAG